rnacentral:rRNA from 1 species
CGAGUGGCGAACGGGUGAGUAACACGUGGGUAACCUGCCCAUCAGAAGGGGAUAACACUUGGAAACAGGUGCUAAUACCGUAUAACACUAUUUUCCGCAUGGAAGAAAGUUGAAAGGCGCUUUUGCGUCACUGAUGGAUGGACCCGCGGUGCAUUAGCUAGUUGGUGAGGUAACGGCUCACCAAGGCAACGAUGCAUAGCCGACCUGAGAGGGUGAUCGGCCACACUGGGACUGAGACACGGCCCAGACUCCUACGGGAGGCAGCAGUAGGGAAUCUUCGGCAAUGGACGAAAGUCUGACCGAGCAACGCCGCGUGAGUGAAGAAGGUUUUCGGAUCGUAAAACUCUGUUGUUAGAGAAGAACAAGGAUGAGAGUAAAAUGUUCAUCCCUUGACGGUAUCUAACCAGAAAGCCACGGCUAACUACGUGCCAGCAGCCGCGGUAAUACGUAGGUGGCAAGCGUUGUCCGGAUUUAUUGGGCGUAAAGCGAGCGCAGGCGGUUUCUUAAGUCUGAUGUGAAAGCCCCCGGCUCAACCGGGGAGGGUCAUUGGAAACUGGGAGACUUGAGUGCAGAAGAGGAGAGUGGAAUUCCAUGUGUAGCGGUGAAAUGCGUAGAUAUAUGGAGGAACACCAGUGGCGAAGGCGGCUCUCUGGUCUGUAACUGACGCUGAGGCUCGAAAGCGUGGGGAGCGAACAGGAUUAGAUACCCUGGUAGUCCACGCCGUAAACGAUGAGUGCUAAGUGUUGGAGGGUUUCCGCCCUUCAGUGCUGCAGCAAACGCAUUAAGCACUCCGCCUGGGGAGUACGACCGCAAGGUUGAAACU